rnacentral:lncRNA from 1 species
CAGCAGAGCAGCCCUUCAUGGCCAGUGUUCAGCCUGAAUUCUGGGCUGGCCCACCUCUGUGACUGGUGGAAUAAGACAUUUUAAGGCUUGCAAAGUCCCCAAAGGUUUGGCUUCCGCAUGUCCUUCCUGAGGAAGAGAGCAGACAGCAAAUGUGAGAGAAAACCAGGAAGGAGGAAGGCAUGGGUCCCAGGAGAAGGGAAUCCAUCCCAAGAGGGAGGCCAGGGAGCAGCCUCAGAAUGGGCAGGGUCACCCCAGGACAGGGGACAGGCCAGGGUCACCCCAGGACAGAGGCCAGGCCACAGACAGAAGGUCCAGAUGGGAGGCCUGUGAAGCCCCAAGCUUCGCCUUGCUGUCACUGCGUGUGGGACAAGCCACAUACGGAAGGUCUAUCAACCAAAGGAAACAGCAAGAAAUGUCGGGCAGGGCCAGCCCGGUGGUGCAGGAGUUAAGUUCACAUGCUCCCCUUCGGUGGCCUGAGGUUUGCUGGUUCGGAUCCCGGGAGCGGACACGGCACCGUUUGGCAAGCCAUGCUGUGGUAGGCGUCCCACAUAUAAAGUAGAGGAGGAUGGGCACGGAUGUUAGCUCAGGGCCAGUCUUCCUCAGCAAAAAGAGGAGGAUUGGCAGCGGAUAUUAGCUCAGGACUAAUCUUCCUCAAAAAAAAAAAAAAGAUGUUGGGCUUCGCAUGGUCUCGCCCCUGCUGGAAGGGAUGGAGGGGAAGGAGGAUCUCUGAGGGGCUGGGAUCUGCCGACCCCAACCUUCCUCCCAGUCCUCGAGUCACAGGUGGGGAAACAGGCAGGUGGUGAGACCUUCUUUGGGGCAGGUGGGGCUGGAGAGGCCCCUCGCUCUUCUCUCUCCAUCUCUCCCUGUCUCUGUCUGUCUCUCUUUUUUCUUCUCUCUCUCCACCUCUCUGUCUCUGUCUCUGGCCCCUCUUCCCUCGCUCCCUCUCUCCCCACCUCUGGGCCCUGCUUCCCUGACAAGCUGAUCAAUUGCUCAUCACUGCUCGCGGAGGCUCUAACUCAAGUGUGGCAUCUUAAUCAGUGCCCGGCUGUCCCAGGCCCAUCGACUGCCUGCCUGGCCGACAAAUGAGCCCCCUGACCAGCCACCCUUGCCUCCCCUAGGUGAGUGGCCUGGCCAUCUCGUGGCCAGGGGGUGGAGCACUGUGGGGUGGGGGAGCCCAG